rnacentral:rRNA from 1 species
UACGUAGGGGGCGAGCGUUGUCCGGAUUUAUUGGGCGUAAAGAGCGUGUAGGCGGCCAGGCAGGUCUGGUGUGAAAACUCGAGGCUUAACCUCGAGAUGUCAUCGGAAACCAUCUGGCUAGAGUCCGGAAGAGGAGAGUGGAAUUCCUGGUGUAGCGGUGAAAUGCGCAGAUAUCAGGAAGAACACCAAUGGCGAAAGCAGCUCUCUGGGACGGUACUGACGCUGAGACGCGAAAGCGUGGGGAGCGAACAGG